rnacentral:rRNA from 1 species
UACGUAGGGGGCAAGCGUUGUCCGGAAUUAUUGGGCGUAAAGAGCGUGUAGGCGGUUCGAUCAGUCCGCUGUGAAAGUCCAGGGCUCAACCCUGGAAAGCCGGUGGAUACUGUCGGGCUAGAAUCCGGAAGAGGCGAGUGGAAUUCCUGGUGUAGCGGUGAAAUGCGCAGAUAUCAGGAAGAACACCAAUGGCGAAGGCAGCUCUCUGGGACGGUACUGACGCUGAGACGCGAAAGCGUGGGGAGCGAACAGG